rnacentral:lncRNA from 10 species
CAGCCUGGGAAUGGGGAGGGGUGAUGCUAGCACGCCUUUAGCCACCCCAGCUGGUGUCUCAGUAGGUCCCAUGCUGCCCAGUUCACUGGCUCUGGACCAGUUCAACACUGAGACUCACCUAAGAGUUGCAGUCCUUGUGGCCUAGACUCCCUUUGAAGUUUAUUUAGAGCCCCAGAGUACUUUAGCCUGCAGUGGUGGUGGGGCUUGAGCAAACUCAAGUUUAGACCACUGGAAUUGGCAAUUUCCCUCUGGCUAGGGCUGGUUUAAAUCUUCCCUCUGUGGGCAGGUUUCAGCUAAUAUUGGUCCAGUUUUGUUUUCUGCUAUAACAGGGCAGCACUGAGUUCAAUGUAGCACAAUUGCUGUGCUCUCCCUCCCACAGUGGCGAGAAAUGCUCUCUGCACCACACAGCUGCUGCCUGGCUGGGAGGUCAGUGAGGGGUGGCAUCAGCAAUUCAAGACUGUUUUUCCCACCUCUUCAGUGUCAAUUUCAGCAAUUUGAAGUUAAAGGCAGGAACAUUGAUGGAGCUGGUGGCCAUUAUCCUUAGCAAACUAAUGCGGGAACAGAGAACCAAAUACUGCAUGUUCUCACUCAUAAGUGGGAGCUGAACAAUGAGAACACGUGGGCACAUGGGAAGAAACAACACACACUGGGGCCUAUUGUAGGUUGGACGGUGGGAGAAGGAGUGAGAGGAUCAAGAAAAAUGACCAAUGAAUACCCUCUUAAUAGCUGGGUGAUGAAAUAACCUGUACAACAAACCCUCAUAAGUUUACCUAUGUAACAAACCUG